rnacentral:rRNA from 1 species
AGAGUUUGAUUCUGGCUCCAGAUUGAACGCUGGGGGCAGGCCUUACACAUGCAAGUCGAGCGGCAGCGGGAAAGUAGCUUGCUACUUUUGCCGGCGAGCGGCGGACGGGUGAGUAAUGCCUGGGGAUCUGCCCAGUCGAGGGGGGAUAACUACUGGAAACGGUAGCUAAUACCGCAUACGCCCUACGGGGGAAAGCAGGGGACCUUCGGGCCUUGCGCGAUUGGAUGAACCCAGGUGGGAUUAGCUAGUUGGUGAGGUAAUGGCUCACCAAGGCGACGAUCCCUAGCUGGUCUGAGAGGAUGAUCAGCCACACUGGAACUGAGACACGGUCCAGACUCCUACGGGAGGCAGCAGUGGGGAAUAUUGCACAAUGGGGGAAACCCUGAUGCAGCCAUGCCGCGUGUGUGAAGGAGGCCUUCGGGUUGUAAAGCACUUUCAGCGAGGAGGAAAGGUUGGUAGCUAAUAACUGCCAGCUGUGACGUUACUCGCAGAAGAAGCACCGGCUAACUCCGUGCCAGCAGCCGCGGUAAUACGGAGGGUGCAAGCGUUAAUCGGAAUUACUGGGCGUAAAGCGCACGCAGGCGGUUGGAUAAGUUAGAUGUGAAAGCCCCGGGCUCAACCUGGGAAUUGCAUUUAAAACUGUCCAGCUAGAGUCUUGUAGAGGGGGGUAGAAUUCCAGGCGUAGCGGUGAAAUGCGUAGAGAUCUGGAGGAAUACCGGUGGCGAAGGCGGCCCCCUGGACAAAGACUGACGCUCAGGUGCGAAAGCGUGGGGAGCACACAGGAUUAGAUACCCUGGUAGUCCACGCCGUAAACGAUGUCUACUUGGAGGUUGGGGCCUUGAGCCGUGGCUUUCGGAGCUAACGCGUUAAGUAGACCGCCUGGGGAGUACGGUCGCAAGAUUAAAACUCAAAUGAAUUGACGGGGGCCCGCACAAGCGGUGGAGCAUGUGGUUUAAUUCGAUGCAACGCGAAGAACCUUACCUACUCUUGACAUCUACAGAAUCCUGCGGAGACGCGGGAGUGCCUUCGGGAACUGUAAGACAGGUGCUGCAUGGCUGUCGUCAGCUUGUGUUGUGAAAUGUUGGGUUAAGUCCCGCAACGAGCGCAACCCUUAUCCUUGUUUGCCAGCGAGUCAUGUCGGGAACUCCAGGGAGACCGCCGGUGCUUACCCGGAGGAUGGUGGGGGUGUCGUCAAGUCAUCGUGGCCCAUCAGCGUAGGGGUCCACACGGGGAUCGUAUGGCGCGGACAGACGGCAGCCAGCUAGUGGUUGU